rnacentral:lncRNA from 1 species
UGUUCAGCUCCACAUUGAGGUCAGAGGCUGUCACUAAAACUUAAAUUGUAUGCUUCCUUGGUUAUCUAAUUCAUGGUGGUCCAGUUUAUGAACAUCUAAAAGAACAAUUUUUUUCUGAUUAAUGUCAACUGAGUUUAGGGUAUAUCCCAGAUUUCUUAGCUGCUCUUAUUUACUUUUAGAGGUAUUUCAGCAGUAAGCGAUGUAAG